GCUGAUGGCGACCGGCGCACGGGUGAGUAACACGUAUCCAACCUGCCGAUAACUCGGGGAUAGCCUUUCGAAAGAAAGAUUAAUAUCCGAUAGCAUAUCAAUCCCGCAUGAGAUUGAUAUUAAAGAAUUUCGGUUAUCGAUGGGGAUGCGUUCCAUUAGUUUGUUGGCGGGGUAACGGCCCACCAAGACUACGAUGGAUAGGGGUUCUGAGAGGAAGGUCCCCCACAUUGGAACUGAGACACGGUCCAAACUCCUACGGGAGGCAGCAGUGAGGAAUAUUGGUCAAUGGACGUAAGUCUGAACCAGCCAAGUAGCGUGAAGGAUGACUGCCCUAUGGGUUGUAAACUUCUUUUAUAUGGGAAUAAAGUAUUCCACGUGUGGGAUUUUGUAUGUACCAUAUGAAUAAGGAUCGGCUAACUCCGUGCCAGCAGCCGCGGUAAUACGGAGGAUCCGAGCGUUAUCCGGAUUUAUUGGGUUUAAAGGGAGCGUAGGUGGAUUGUUAAGUCAGUUGUGAAAGUUUGCGGCUCAACCGUAAAAUUGCAGUUGAAACUGGUAGUCUUGAGUACAGUAGAGGUGGGCGGAAUUCGUGGUGUAGCGGUGAAAUGCUUAGAUAUCACGAAGAACUCCGAUUGCGAAGGCAGCUCACUAGACUGUCACUGACACUGAUGCUCGAAAGUGUGGGUAUCAAACAGGAUUAGAUACCCUGGUAGUCCACACAGUAAACGAUGAAUACUCGCUGUUUGCGAUAUACAGUAAGCG
rnacentral:rRNA from 1 species